AACACAGCAAGAAGUCAUUGAAUAGCUAUGAGAAAACAUGUAUCUCAUUUCAAUUCUUUGAUGUUUUUUGUAGGAGCUGGACACACCAUUUAGACUCUAUGGACUGACAAUGAAUCCCUUAAUCUACAAUAUCACAAGAGUAGUUAUCCUUUCUGCUGUCUCAGGUGUUAUAAGUGAUCUUCUAGGAUUUAAUAUAAGACUGUGGAAAAUUAAAUCAUAAGCUGAGUUAAAUGCCCGGACUCUCCCCUGGCUGGUAUCAAUACUUACCCAUUAAGGAAAGAGAUGACUGCAGAAACCAGUGAGAUACCCACCUGCUUGUUCACAUGCACAGGUGCUCUCAGCUCUGCCAAUGAAUGGUGUUUCCAGAGGAACAAGGCCUUUGCCAACUGGGUGUGCAUGCUAAAAACCUGUAUUUUCAUGCUUUUCAAACAGUAUGAAUAGUCAGCCAACUAAAGACUGUGUGUUAUGGUAACACAAGGACAAUUUUCUAGUUAGGAAAUUUAUUCUGGGCACUUCAGUACUGUGACAGUUAUAUUUACAGGACAUAGUCUUUUGGGCAACUAUGGUAGAUGCCCAAAGCAUGAAGCACAUAUCUUUUAUUGGAAAUUUGCAAAUUCAGUACUUUUUCAUUACAGCCUAUCGAAUUGGAGAUUUCAUUUCUCUAUCAAAGAGAGAUCAAGCAAACUAUUUUAGGUUAAAUCUGAAUAAAAGAACUUUACUGGA